CGGACGGGUGAGUAACACGUGGAUAACCUACCUAUAAGACUGGGAUAACUUCGGGAAACCGGAGCUAAUACCGGAUAAUAUAUUGAACCGCAUGGUUCAAUAGUGAAAGACGGUUUUGCNGUCACUUAUAGAUGGAUCCGCGCCGCAUUAGCUAGUUGGUAAGGUAACGGCUUACCAAGGCAACGAUGCGUAGCCGACCUGAGAGGGUGAUCGGCCACACUGGAACUGAGACACGGUCCAGACUCCUACGGGAGGCAGCAGCU
rnacentral:rRNA from 1 species